rnacentral:rRNA from 1 species
CCAAGGAGUCUAGCGUGUGCGCGAGUCAUUGGGAUAACACUAAACCUAAAGGCGCAAUGAAAGUAAAAGUUCGUCUCGCGCGAACCGAGGGAAGACGGUCGGCAAAUUAGAGUCGGCCCGCAUUCCCGGGGCGUCUCGUUCUCAUUGCGAGAAGAGGCGCACCAAGAGCGUACACGCUGGGACCCGAAAGAUGGUGAACUAUGCCUGGUCAGGACGAAGUCAGGGGAAACCCUGAUGGAGGUCCGUAGCGAUUCUGACGUGCAAAUCGAUCGUCGGAACUGGGUAUAGGGGCGAAAGACUAAUCGAACCAUC